rnacentral:lncRNA from 10 species
ACUAAAUCUUCAGUAUGAUAAGGUUAUGCAGGACUAAAAACUGGGUAGCAAUAAAUGGGCUUUAGAAAACAAAGCAUGCAGGUUUUCCCAGGCACUUUCAACUAAUGCAAACAUAUACAGUACAGAAAAGAGAAGAUGUAACUUUUCUCUGAAAAAAAGGUUUAUUGCAUAUGGAAAUCAAUAGAUAUCUUUUACAAAAAAAGGUUAGAAUAAAGAUCUCACAUUUGUAAAGGCACAUAUGAAACAUUUUAUAGCAAGCACAAGGGCAGUGAGAACAUCAACAAGGUCCAAUAUCUAAAUAAGACUUUAUAAAAACAGAUAGGAAACAGUGCAAAAAAUACUGUCAAAGUCAGUUCUAUACACCUCAUAACUGUGUAUACAACUGGCAAGCAUAAGCUUAUUUACUGAUAUAAAAUAGCACAUAGAAUAGCAUGCAUAGUUUUAUUUUAGGCUUUUCAUAUUAUUAAAUUGAUAGGGAGUCUAUACCAAAGUACAGUUGACAUGAAUAGUGAUAAAAAUCACUCCCCAGCUUAGGGAAUGUCCUAUAAACAUCUCACCCCUCCCUCUGCUUACAACUACAGUUUGGUAGUAAGGAGACUGGGCUUCCAUCUUGCAAGGUGGCAAGCGGCCACCACAGGGGGCGAAUGUGCUCUCAGGAUCCCAAGUCCCAACCUGGAAUGCAUUUCUUACGGCAACAACAUAAGAGAUGGUGAUUAAAUGUCUGGGUCAGCCCACAAAAGCCAACCAGAUCUGGCUAUCACAGCCCUCCAUUUGGGCUGUGGUGGAGGUCAGUGGGCUUCUAUGGGCUGACGCAAGAACCUUAAGAACAAACCGGUUUCUAAGUUGGGGACUUGUCUGUACAUCGUUUCAAAAUGAAACCUAAUAAAUGUCAUUUGUUUUGAAUGAUACCAAAAUUCACAACAUUUUGUGAAACAAAGAUCAAGGAAAGCAUCAAAAUACUGAAGUAGGGAGCACAAGCCUAGUCCAGUGAAACAAACUAGAUUAGCUUGUUACUUGAUGUAACACAAGUUACAUAAGGUUACACAUUUAUUAGUAAUUUGCAUAUUUAAACCUUUUUUUCCACUGAAGUAUCCUCAAGCACAUUAAUUAGCUAUUGAAGGAACAAAGGACAUACAUAGGAACUCAUCUCUGAUGAAGAGUAGCUUUAUGUCAGAAAGGAGAAGGCUAAUGAAUUUUUAAGAUUCCAAACAGUGGCAAGAAAGUUCAAAGGAAAUUGCAGUAAAAUUGUACAAUGUUCAAGUUGAAAAAAAAAAUGGCUCUGAAUUACAGCAUUCAGUUCUAUGCUCAAGGUAUGUAUUAGCUAACACUGCAGUUGUCAGAGGUGGGAGGCCCCUGAGAAAUGCUGAGAAUGCCAGGCACCCCAGUUCUGAGAGCCACCCUAGCUAAACUCAAAGCAGCAUUCUUGAGAUUUUAGCAAAAGGCUCCGCCCCAAGCCACAAAAAGAUCCCAAUCCAAUCUUUUCAGCUUUAUCCUCUAAAACCUUUUGUCAGAUGAGAUAGCAUUUGUGUUUCCCAGGAGGAGAAGGUUGGGGAAGAAAAUGAAGAUAGCUUACAUACAGAUUUUGGAUGACCCGCUAAUCUUUCCCCUUCCUAGGUAAGUGAAAACAGAUAAAAUGUUUCUGGGCAGCCCAAAGGUUUACCACCUGUUUCACUAGAAUGGCCAGUCUGUGUAAAGAGGCUAUAAUGACGAAAGCAUUUUCCCUGCAGGGAGAAGCUAGAAACAAAUGGGUCUUCCUAUACAUCAGUCUGCCAAAUGCAGCCUCUCUCAAUCUAUAUAAGUUCACCUCGAAAUACAUAUUAAGUACUGCUGUCAUCAUUGUUUUAAACAGAGCGUCUUUCAUUUUUUCUAAUAGUGACUGAUUCUAUCGGCAAGGGAACAAAAGGGUGAGAAAGGGAGCUUCCUGCUUGCUGAGUUUUCUAGCUAUUUUCAUUCUGGUUAUUUUCAUCCGCCAGAUCUUUUUUUUUUUUUUUUUUUUUUUUUGAGACAAAGUCUCACUCUGUUGCCCAGGCUGGAGUGCAGUGGCAUGAUCUCGGCUCACUGCAACCUCCACCUCCCGGGUUCAAGCAAUUAUCCUGCCUCAGCCUCCUGAGUAGCUGGGAUUACAGGCAUGUGCCACCAUGCCUGGCUAAUUUUUUUUUUUUUUUUUUUUUUUGUAUUUUUAGUAGAGACGGGAUUUCACCAUGUUGGCCAGGCUGGUCUUGAACGCCUGACCUCAGGUGAUCUGCCUGCCUCAGCCUCCCAAAGUGCUGGUUUGAUUACAGGUGUGAGCCACCACAUCUGGCCAUUUGCCAGAUCUUAUUCUUUGAAACUAUACAAGCAAUUUUUAAAAAAUUAAAAUAAGAUUUCCUAAUUACAUAUUUCUGAGAGGUUUAAGGCAAUGAUUCUCUGACGAGGAUUAACUCUUACAUCUGGGUUGCACUCAUAGGGUAGGUAAAGAAAAGAAAAAGUGUACUGUUGAGAGUUGAUCCAUAAAGCAGAUGGGGAAAUAUGAAAAGGCAGCAGACCCUAAGUGAACAAGGUGCUCAUGGAAUGAAGAGGGUGACAGCACACAACAGUCCCACCCGUUCCCCUGAACAAGACAAGGAACACCAAAGUCACUGCAUGUACAUCCCAGUUUUGUGGCCUGAAUAGAAACAUGACUUGCUCUAAAGGGGAAUGUCCUCUGCAGCACCUCUGAGAUCACAGGGGAGAAGAAUCAAGAAAUCCAAGAGCCGGGGCUGCUAACUCUGGGAGCCACAUGGGUAAGCAGAAUGCUCUGCUAACAAGCAAGGCAAGGAAAGGCUGCCAGCAGCAGGCGAGGGAAGAUGGUGCUUUUGAUCAGCAAAUCCAGGCAAAUAUGAUAAACCACACAUCAUAAUCCAUGACAUUCAUCAAGCUCUACCUCAACAGUGAAGACAGUUUAAAACUAUGAGCUAGGGUGAAAUAGACUCCAACACUGCUGCAGGCUUUCCCUAGCAUGCCACUUGGUGGUUUCCAUCACUCUGACAUUACAGAAAGGGAGGCAGGGAGUAGGAGAGGCAUUCCAGAGUUCAGAAAAUUAUUUGUGAAACAGAGAACUUUUGGAUAGCAACUUCAGGACUGAUGCAAAAAUCCUUCCUCUCCCUCUUCCCAUUUAUAGAAACUUUUGAGCAAGUUUAUGGCACUUCUGGGAAAGAAUGAUCCUGAUGGCCCAAAGUGUGGCAGAAGGAGCAAUGACUUUCCACACAAAUGCUUGUCAUAUUCAGGCUGCCCAGUAGCUCCAGCCCUCCUGCCUUGUAACUCAAUGUCCUUGAAUUUAUUUUUAAAAUGGGAAGGCUAAAAACAAAGCUGCAAACGGUAGGAACUGAUGCACAUCCUCUUCUUUACUGUACCAAACAACAAUCAUUUUCCAGUCUAUGAAAUUGAUGGAUGCCAGACACUCAAUGCUAGGCUCAUGGACAUUUUAAUAGAGAAUAUCUUAGUUUGGCUUUGAGAAAGAAGAUGCAGCUAUAUUAAGCUGAAAAGAUAAGAAAGGUAGUCUACUGAAUAAAAAUACUUACCUAUCUGAGUUUCUAACAGAAACACAAAAGCUGAGAGCAGGCUGGAUAAAGGCUGAGUGUUGAUGGCGCAAGCUGGUGGUCAAGUUUCACAGGGCCCCCUGAAUAACACUGACUUCUGGACAACACAUUUGAGGUGGCAGAAUUUGAUGAGAUUUCCCCCACAUUUCUCCCUGGCACGUUGCUGUUACUUUCAACAGACGCCAUCUGUAAGGUCCUUUGCCCCAAAAUGUCUUAGAAGCUUAAGUAAAGACAAGAACUAUUUUGCUUCCUUGCUCAGCGUUCAAGAGAAGUAUCAAAUGCAGUUUAACAUCUUACAGCUUUAUUUCCACCCUAUAGGGCCAACUAGUGUGCCAACCAUAAGGCUGUAGGCCAUUGGAGAAUUUGUGUGGUUUCUACAGAAGACCCAAAUUUCUCCAUUUGGAAACCAUGCUGGAUGAGCUGUUGCUCUGCUCAUGAAAAGAAAUCACUAAAUAAGAGCAUGAUGAGUGUCUCAAAACCAUUGGCAAUAUAAUAAAACACAGCAGCAGAAUAAUUGUUGGUAAAACAUGGGAAUGCUCAAUUCCCUAAAAGGGCUACCCUAAGAGCCCAACAGUAAUUAUGUGGUGCUUCCGGAAAUGUCUUACUCUAGGAGCUCCACAGAGUUAUUUCUGACACUGAGUAAGAACACAGGUCUGACUCAAUCCCAUCCCUUGAAUCUGUGCUCCCUGGCACACAUCCUAGAAUGCCCUGUACCCUCCAUCCCCCCAACCCCCGCACCUCAAGGGAUUGACAGAUCUUCCCCAAACGAAAAUCAGUAACGAAAUAGUUGUCCUUUACCAAAGGGGGCAAUCAAGGACCCUCUGAGAAUACCAGAAUCCAUGGAUGUUCAAGUCUUUUAUAUAAAAUAGCACAGUAUUUGCAUAUAACCUAUGCACAUCUCUUGCAUACUUUAAAUCAUCUCUAGAUUAUUUACAAUACCUAACUCAAUGCCUACACAUCACUUCAUUUGUGUGAAUUCAAUGUAGUAUUCAGCAUGUGGCAAAUUCAACUUUUGCUUUUUGGAACUUUGUGGGUUUCCCCUCUUCCCCAAAUAUUUUUCAAUCUGUACUUGGUUGAAUAUAGGGAUGUGGAACCCACAGAUAGGGGUGGUCAACUGUACUCAUCUUCACCAUCGAAUACACCAUUAGAUGGGGAAAGGGAGACUAGAAGGCACAUUCUGCUUUUUGACAAAGGACACUUUUGGGACCCAUACGUCACGUAACAAGUAGGCUGAGGUCAGCUAAUACAGACUGUUCAUCGGGAAAGGACAGCAGCUAAAAACUCCAGAGUGAUAUGCCUGAUGGCCAAUCCGGCUUAAGAGAAGCUGCAGUGCACUAUCUACCUCUGCAACUUCCAUGUCCCAGGAGAUGGCCCAUUCACCAAGUGAUGCAAGGAUCACUAUGAGCAGGGCAGCACGUUCGUGAAAAGAGCUGGGCCACCCAGGGUAUACCUUUUGUGUUCAUUAGCACUGCUCUGGAGAAAUGACAUCUGGUGUUGGGACCCACAGUGUAUCAGGGGGAAGAUAUAGGUGAUCCAUGCGAGUACUGUCUAUUUGCAGAAAAUAUGGUCCAUUAUUGGAAAUUUCAUAUGGGUCAAUCUAUAUUAAGCUGGAAAAAUAAUCAGCUGGAUGAAAAGGCCAGCCUGCUGUACCCACUGGAGUUUAUAACUGAAAAGCACAAGCUGAAAGAAAGCAGGAUAAAGGUUAAGUAGGUGUAAGCCAUGGUCAAGUCCUACAAGGCCCACCCUCAGCAGUCUACAAAGACCCUCUCUUCAGGCUGAUGAAAGAGGGGGCCAGAGAUGGCCAAGUGACUCUUAGGAAAACAAUGACAGUUUAGCUAUAAUUUUAAAAAGCGGUUCCUCUUCUCAAUCUACAAAAUUAAAAGUAAAAUUCUCUCAAUUUAAGCUCCUCAAAAGCUUACGAUUCAAAAUAUUCCACAUAGGUAUUUUUACCUUCCCUGAUCUUAUUGUUUAGCUCCGACUGAAUAUUGCAGCUCAUUCAUCUUUACUCCUAUGUAAUCAAUGUUUAACAUCCUUUUUUCAUGCAACUAAAUCCUCCUUUACUUCCUAUCUGGGGAAAGAAGUGCAUACCAAUGUCUAUGCUAUCUGUAAAUGCUACCAGAUACUCUUGCUAAAAGAUGGUAUAUCCAGUAUAUCCUUAGAACCCAAGGAAACCUAAGAAACCUCAGCAGGACAUUCCUCAGCUAAGCCAGCAGGCUCAUCUCAAGGAUGAAGACAUCAAAUUCAGCCCCCAUGAUUCAGGGACCACAGUAAACAAGGAUGAAUACCUCGGGUCAAUGUAUCCAAAUGAGUGUGGAUGAAAGAAACCAAACAGUUCAACUGGAAAACCUCGAAAACAGCGGCUGGAAAAUGUUUGAUGGCUUUGUUGUGAGAUGGUAACUUUUUUUUCCUCCAUUUUACAUUUUCUCCCUUCAAAUCCAAACUGCAGCAAUAGACACUGACAGCUCCAGCUUCAGACUUGAUACAUCAUCAGGAAAUCAUUCCAAAAGCUCUAACUAGAUAACUAAUUUAAUACACUUUGCUUCAAGGUUUAUUCCUUGGCUUGCUUCCCAGAUAUAAAGCAUCUCUGGGCAAUUAUUAUGCAGAUGCCACCGAAAGGACUUUAAAUGGCUGCUGCUAAUUUAACAGGAGAUAUGUUGGCAUUUACUGGAGAUGUGAAAAGGAAUGCAAAAUGUGCUAAAGAACCAAAGGCAUUUGUUUUUAAAAGUGAAAUAUGUGGAACAACUCUUAAAUGUUUUCUUUUGGGUUUCAAUAUAAACUUUGGCUAGAAAGUUGAAUAUUAAACCUACUUCCUCCCUGCAUUUUGUACACUAAUGAAUAUUCCCGUAGCAUACGGCAGGGACAGUGGAUGAAUUUCAGGGAAGCCCAUGAGCUCUGACGACCUCAAAGACGCACCAGAUCUAUAUGCUGUCCACAUGAGACAUAUUCUAACAGUGCCCACCUUGGGGCUUAGAGAUAAAAGAUAAAUACUGAUGUUGUUCAUCACGCAAUAAACCAGUAACUGAGACCACUUGCUAAAACAUCCCUAACAGCAGAAUAUCCCAAGGAUGGAAAAACCUCCAAGGAAAGGAAACAAGUAUCUUUUUGCUUAUUGAUGAGCUUCUUAUAAUAAGGGUUAUAAGCUCUGUUCACUGAAAAUACAUGUAAUACUAAUGGGUUUCUUUCCAGGACAUACAACAAAACUCCAGAAUCUACAAAGAUCAGCAGAUUAUACUCCUUCACUGAGCCUUCAGACCUUGAAGUAGAAGACACAGGGGAAGCCCUCCAUCCCCAGAUAUUCCGAGUCUAACUAGAGUACAGCCACCACAACACCUGGCCAGGUUGAAACAGAGGAUUCCUAUUCCGAAGAACUUAAUGGGGAAUAUAUACCUGUUGGCAUGUGGUGAUGGGAUGUCACAAAGGCAUACUUUUUCUGGUUGAUUUGAUGUCACUCCAUCUUUUUAGCUCACGGGGGACAAAAGCAGCAAUGAAGAAAGGCAUAUGGAACUCUCACAGCAGUCAAUUCUAAGAAAAAAAACUGCAAUUAAAUUUUCCUUUCUCCUAACAUCUAGUUUUUCUUGACAACCUUUUUUCCUUUUUUUUUUUUUUUUUUGGAGGCAGGGUCUCUCCGUAGCCCAGCCUGGACUACAGUGGCAAGAUCACGGCUCACUGCAGUCUCGAAUUCUUAGAAUCAGGUGAUCCUCCUGCCUCAGCCUCCCGAGCAGCUGGGACUACCAGGGCAUACCACCACGCCUGGCUAAUUUUUGUACUUUUUGUAGAGACGGGGUUUCAUCAUGUUGCUCAGGCUGGUCUCGAACUCCUUAGCUCAAGCAAUCUGCCCGCCUUGGCCUUUCAAAGUGCUGGGAUUACAGGUGUGAACCACCGUGCCUGGCUGACUACAGUUUUUUAAUUGCACGUUUGUUCUUUGAACUGACCACUGUGGGCAUUCCAUGCCUUCCUCCACUGCCGCCUUUUUCCCAAGCUGAAAAGACAAGGAAGAUGUGGCAUCAAAUUAACUAGAAAGAGCACGCCUGUGACUUCCCAUCACCACGUAACAACAGGUGCAUAUCAAAGCUGUACUCAAGAAAAGGUAGACAUAGAAUGAUAAAUCCCCCAAAAUGCAGUAAGAGGAAAAAAGUACAAAACAUGAUUUAUUGUGUACCAUCCUUGGAAAUUCAGAAGGACACUGACCAAUGAAGCCAUAGGAAGAAACUAAGAACUGGGCUUCAAAGUGAAGAUAACUGACCAGCGAGUGGAUUUUAUGAAGAAAAGGAAAGAAGCACAGGGCUCUGCCAAUGACAAUUCUACCAUCGUUCAUCAAGUGGCCCCAAGUUUGGACUAUGGGGUCCCGAGUGGGAUUAAUUCUGAUCUUGCAGACCAAAGCCUGAAGAUGAUAUCAGCACAGCGGGGGUCACAUUUGAUGUGUUUCCUGGCCAGGACCCCUGUUAUGUAGCUAAAUGCCUUACAGCUCCCAUAAAUCAGCUUCCCCAUCUGUUUCCUUGAUGGCCUUUCCAAUGACUUAGUGACCUCAACUUUUAGGUCUCUGUCCAGCACACACAUCUUAUUUAAAUAAAAAACAAUGAUCAUCAAGGCCCUGCCUGAAAAACACAAUCCUCAAAGGCCCUGCCCAACUCCUUUCUCUUUCUAGGUCUGCUAUCCUCUCUCAAUCAGGGUAGAGCCUUAACUGCACAGAUGGUCUGGUCCAGAGCCUCAAUGCCACCAGACAGGGUCCUACUGAGCAAACAGGAGAGGUAGCAACAAAUACCCAAGGUACAGUCGCCAGCAGGGAAACACAAGCUCCAGAGCCCAGGAUAAGGGGUGGUCAAGAAAAGCACAACACAGAGCUUGUCUUUCGGCCCCAAAGAUGGCAAUUACUGCAUUGUAAAGGCAGCACUGUCUUUAGCUAUUCUGUCUUUAACUCAAGCUUGGGGGGGAAGUUGGGGUGGGGCGUGGGGGAGAGGAGACUACUGAGGAUGAGGGGUGGAAAUGAAGACGAGAGGAAACUGUCUAUCAAGGCUCAUGAGCCCCAAAAUAUAAGAGAAUCGUGUUUGUUCCUUCAGACCCUUUUCUUUAUAUUUCAGGAUGAAUUCAUUUUCUUACCGUCUUUGCUUUGGAUAUAAGCAAUGAAUGAUGAAUGAAUCAAGCUGAUAAAUGAAUUAAGCUGAUGAAUUUCAGGGUUGGUUACAAAUCUGGCU